UAUUUUUCCAGUACAAGUGCAAAAUGACCCAAAAAUGAAAAGUGGUUAAACGCUUUUAAAACCCAAAUCGGACAAGAAUUACACAUAAUCGCGGAUUUAUAUAUUACAUUGUAAUUAAGAUCCUUGACAAAAUAGAAUUUAUAUCGAAAUCAAAUCAGAGUACAUAUAUUUAUUAUAUACCUAUAAAUGAAAUAUUGAGAAAUAUUGAUGAAAUAAAACGCUUAUUUUCAUUUUCGUACUUCACUGUAAAAAAGUAUUUUAGUGAAACAUAUUUUCUGUGUAUUCACUGGUGUCUUGCCGGACUUCUCUCUUUCAAAUUUAAGGAAUAGUUUUCUAAAUUGUAAUUUAAGAAUAGAGACAAAUGUAUAUAAUAAACAGAAAAUUCAAGUUUUUUUCUAUAAAUACAUGAUUUAUUUUCAUAUUGUGGCAUGAAAAUUAUCACAUUUCACUCGUGGAUACCGCCACUCAUGAAAUAUUUAUUCUCAUACCACUUGAUGAAAAUAAAUCGUGUAUUUACAGAAAAAACUUGAAUAUCCCCUAUACAUUUUAACAUCUUUUGUAUAUUUGUCCUGCAGUUUAUCUAUGUACGAAUGUAUUUUUUAUGUGUUUAGGUUUUAAGACCACAAUGGAGCUCCUUUAAUUAAAUACUUUAACAAACUUAUAUAUUAUGAACCGUUUUUAACUUUAAGGUCCCAGCUUCUUUCAAUAUUUCAUUUUGGUACAACUUCCAAUUGUUCUUGCGUCUUAAUGCUCGAAUGACGAAUAAAAACUGUUUCGCGCAUGUCAGGUGAUGGUGUGCCAACCACGUUAACUUUUUGGUCCUUCCGAAUUAUCCAGACGGGGAACAAUAGUUUUAUAUAAAUUCAUAGCAAAUUAAAUCGUGUGACUGAAAAGAGAUCGGAAAAUGUUUUGCUGGCGUCUUUAACGGAUUAUUUAGUAAAGUCGUUUUGGUGAGAAUCAAUCAGUGGUUAAACAUACAAGAUUGUCCCCGAGCGCUCAAGAUUCAUGGUCGAGUGAUUUUCCAUGCACUUUACUGUUAGCUACAUUUGCGUGAAGUUUGUGAGAGGGACGUGACGGAAACAAAAGUAUGGCAGAUUUGGAAUUGUUUCUUUUAUUUUAGGACGUCGAAGAACUUAGUAUCAAUCAAAAAUGUAAGUUAUUUUAUAUUUUAUUAAUAAAAACUAUAUAGCCGAAACGUAAUAUUAUUACACAUGAAAAUCGGGAAAGCGUUACUGUUUCUUUUUUAGGAAAAAAUGUAAAUAUUUCACAGAAAAUUCGGGAAAUGUUAUUGUAUCACAUAAAAUUUGUAAAUUAUCAAAUAUUUUUCGUAGGUACAAUUUGUUUGACACAAAGUUAAAUUUUCCAUGAAUAUGGACUUUAAUUAUAAAUUAGCAUUAAUCAUAAGGAUUAUACAUGUUAAACUUUUAAUUUUUCAUGUGACGUUUCGAUCAUAGUUAUUUUUGACCAUUAUGAUAAUUGGCUUAUGAUAUAAAACAAAAUACAGAUAUGAAUAAUUGAUAGUUGGCAUAUGAGGUCUAACAAAGUAUUGACACGGAUGAUUGACGUGUGAUAUGUAAAAAUGAUGGCCAUGUUGAUGACAAUGUUGUUUUGAUGAGGACGUCCAUGGGUGUUACAGUGAUGAUGGAAUGACGUUGUUCAAGUGAGCAUCAGCAGACGUAAAGCAGGAAAUGGCGGAAAGAAUCCUAGCAGACGACAGUUGUCGCGCAGAUGCAAUCAUGCACCAUAUCAGACUGCCCGAAAUUACAGGCUGGCCCAGCUCUACUGUAUACUGGACUCGCUUUCAGCAUGUUACAGUAGGGUUUGAAAAAGGAAAUCAUAACUUUGUAACGUAGCAGACGACAAUAAAUUUUAAAGUGGAAAUUUGCGACUUCCGGUGUGUCUGCUACUCGAUGUUGUGAUCUUAGUUACUUCCCCUGACGUUCAGUAUAUGAAAUGAGGGUCGAGUUUCAGGAUUUGAAAUUAAGAAAGAACGAAAGAUAUGAAAUGAGCACCGGCAAACUGAUCUUGGCAUGUCACAUCCUUAUCACAGAACUGGAACCUACUGAUUAUGAUGAGAAAUACGGAACAUGGUAAAUUGAGCAGGUGAAGGAAUGAAGAAAACACCACCCUCUUGACAGUCAGCAAAAUAACUAUGCUUUGUUACGGUUUGGAACUACUGCAUGCCGUUACAACUUAAUAUGUGACAAAGAGAUUUUAAUCCACCUGAUACGAUUUGGUAUCUUUCUGAAAAUGUCAUGUUCAACUUCUGAAUGGUGUUUUUUUCUGCCAAAUUUAAGAAAUAUAUUACCAUGUAACUGUCUAAUAUUUAUGGCAAUUAUGAAGUAAUAGUGAGUUUUUGGCGUAGUAAUAAAAACCAUAAAAGGUGUUAGCUCGAUUGGAUUUUCUACAUGAACUUAAAAAAAUAACACCUUCAUAAAUGCCUUGAUGUGAACAGAAUAGAAGGGAUAUUUUAUUUGCUUUUUACAUUGUACAUCUUCUAUUUAACAUACUGUGCCGUCAAUAAAUUGAAAUGGCAAUAAUGAGUAUAAUUGCAAUAAUGAAUGAUGCAUUUUUUUGCAAUGUAUAUUUCAAGUGGUGUAAUAAGUAAAUUUUGAUCAGGAAUGUACAUUUAUUAAGACUUAAUAUAUAUGCAAACAUACUGUACCGUUAACAUAAUGGCAAUAGUAAAAUUGCAGAAAUGAAUGAUGCCCAUUUUUUACAAUGUAUAUUUCAAG